rnacentral:lncRNA from 1 species
UGCUGCUUCUUUGCCAGAGAGUGGCCUUGCCUCUGCCAUGCAGGAGGGCGAUGUCCCCUGAGGAGGCCUUGCUGAAUCUGCCAGGGACGGUUCCGGAAGUAGGAAGGGCGGCCGGGGGUGGGGAGGCGGCAGGAAUGUUCUGGCCUGCUGCUCGUACAGGCGAGUGUCCCGAGAGGAGGGCCUCUGGACAUCAAAGGUUCCUUUUGUCCCCCUCCGAGUGGCAGGGCAGACGGGCCGCUGGCGAUGACUCAGGCCUGGCCCUGACGUCACCCACGCCCGGCCACUGGCCUCCCUCUGCAGCCAGGAAACUGGCUGGGGAGUGGCACUCGCAGGCUGCAGCAAAUCUCAAAAUAAGGAGGCAACUGCCUCUCUCCUCCUCCUCUCCAUCGCCCCACAGCACACCUUGGUUUUCUUUUAUGCUGCUGCUUUUUUUGGGGUUUUUUUUUUCUGAAGCCUCACGGAAGGUUUUACUUCUAUAUCAACUUUCAAAAUGUAGGAAGUCAGAAUGGGUGACAUCAUCAGAAAAAUAUGUGGAGCUGAUCUCGACCAGAAGUGAAGAACCCAGAGCAAGAAGGCGGUUAGAACUCCUGAGCCCAGGGAAUUGGCAGCGUCUGGGUUUCAGAGGAGCCAGCGCCUCGGAGUUGUCUAGAAGUGAGGCUCUGCUAAACCGCUCCUCAUCUGGCUAUAAGAUCUGAACGCUGCGACCAUUGAUUUGGUGAGUGUCAUUUGUCCCUAAUGGCUGCUUGAAUUUAGUUGACUAAAUCUGUUCUUUUAUUUUGUUGUCUUGCCUGGAAAUUCCCAUGGAUGGAGGAGCCUGGUGGGCUACAGUCCGUGGGGUCCCUACGAGUCGGACACGACUGAGCGACUUCACUUUCACUUUUCACUUUCAUGCAUUGGAGAAGGAAAUGGCAACCCACUCCAGUGUUCUUGCCUGGAGAAUCCCAGGGACAGGGGAGCCUCGUGGACUGCCGUCUGUGGGGUCAAACAGAGUCGGACACGACUGAAGCAACUUAGCAGCAGCAGCAAGGUACAGGGAAAGGGAAGAAGGCAUGGGGACUUCUGCAUACAACAAUAACAGCUGUAUCAAAGAGGAUAAUAGUAAUAGUUAAGAUAGGCUAAUUGCUGUAAUAGACUGAAAAAGGUAUAAUGACUCAAACACAAUAGAAGUUUAUUUCUUGGUCACAUAACAAUAGAGGUCACACAUUCAUUCAGAGACGUAGGUUGAGAGAGGCUCCACCUUCUGCAGUAUGUUGUUUUAAAGAUCACCUGGGAUUGUUUCCACUUCCCAGUGGAGGAGGAAAAAAGAGUGUGAAAAAGUGCACAUGGAGAUUUUUAUGGCCCCUGCCUAGAAGUGGCCAGGACACAUCUACUCACAUUCUAUUGGCUAAAAUUCUAGUCACAUGACAGCUUCUAACUGCAAAGGCAUCUGGGAAAUGUAGUCCCUGGAUGGGGGGCAGCCACUUUCCAGUAACAGCUCUGGAGUGUUUCUGACGAAGAGGUCGUCUGCUCUGCAAGGCAUAAUGAGGAACUUAGGGAUGCUCAAAAAUAAGAUAGCAGAAUGAAGUAGUGGGGGAAGUAAAAAGAGAUCAGAUAUUUAGAAUUAUAUUAAUAUAACUAACACUUUUUGGUAAGGAGUGGGCAAGGAGCCAGAGAAGGCAAUGGCACCCCACUCCAGUACUUUUGCCUAGAAAAUCC